rnacentral:tRNA from 1 species
GCUGGAAUAGCUCAGUUGGUUAGAGCAUGUGGCUGUUAACUACAAGGUCGGAGGUUCAAGCCCUCCUUCUAGCG